CCAAAGGCUCUUUUAAGAGCCACCUACAAUUCCAGAAAAAGAGCUU
rfam:Ficedula albicollis isolate OC2 chromosome 1A, whole genome shotgun sequence.